rnacentral:rRNA from 1 species
GACGAACGCUGGCGGCGUGCCUAAUACAUGCAAGUCGAGCGAGCUUGCCUAGAUGAAUUUGGUUCUUGCACCAGAUGACACUAGAUACAAGCGAGCGGCGGACGGGUGAGUAACACGUGGGUAACCUGCCCAAGAGACUGGGAUAACACCUGGAAACAGAUGCUAAUACCGGAUAACAACACUAGACGCAUGUCUAGAGUUUAAAAGAUGGUUCUGCUAUCACUCUUGGAUGGACCUGCGGUGCAUUAGCUAGUUGGUAAGGCAACGGCUUACCAAGGCAAGGAUGCAUAGCCGAGUUGUGAGACUGAUCGGCCACAUUGGGACUGAGACACGGCCCAAACGCCUACGGGAGGCAGCAGUAGGGAAUCUUCCACAAUGGACGCAAGUCUGAUGGAGCAACGCCGCGUGAGUGAAGAAGGGUUUCGGCUCGUAAAGCUCUGUUGGUAGUGAAGAAAGAUAGAGGUAGUAAAUGGCCUGUAUUUGACGGUAAUUACUUAGAAAGUAACGGCUAACUACGUG